UCCAAAUUUCAUUCUUUCACAUGUUUUUGUUUAAAGGAAGAGUAGCAAUUCUUUGCUAAAGUAGAGCUAAAAAGAGUCUAAAAAGUUUCCAUGCAUUCAUUUGGUUAAGGUCAGACGACCUUUAUCAGCAGCAAAUUCAAGAGCGGGGCCAGCUUCAUGGACCACAGGACUAAGCAACUAGUCCCUGUAAUUCUGCUAUGGAGUAGAGCAAAAAAUUCCCUGAAGUUUGAACUCUGUAUUAACAUUCCAAAAGCUGGUUUGGCUGACUAGUCACAGCCAAACUUCACUUGUAGCUAAUAGGUACUAGGCUUCAGGUGCCAUCAUAACAGCACUCUCGGGAGCAAUCUGGUCGGGAUUUUGUUGAAUACUGGAGACUCAAACCAGACGCUGCUGGUGCUGCUUGGCAAAUUUGUGGAGGCAUGUAGGCCUCUGCUGCAGGAUGUGAACCUUGUGGGCUAUGAACAGGUUCUUGAUUGCCUUGCGCAAGCAACAUUGUUUGCGCUAUUGGGUUGGGGGAAUAAAGAACUUCAAUUCCCACAGGCCCAAAUCGUUUAAGCUUAGUAGUGUGUUUUUUCCCAGAAAGAUGGCGGUCAACAAACCCCUUCAGUAUCACACGUCACAUUGCCAGGUCACAGAUGAGAGGAAUUACAGCCUUUCUGUUGCGAGGUCCAUCUUUCGGCCUUGAAGCUUCUAAAGUUUUCAUGCACUUCCCUCCCUGACCACCUCGCAUCUUCCUCUUCAUUCCAUGCCUCUGGCUGUCAGAACACUCAAUCGGAGGAGUUUCUUCCACAGUGGCUACAGUUCGUUUUAUGCCUCUUGCCAUUCUUGUGUUGCUCAAGGAUUUCCAAACUGGUGCACUCAACCCUGCAAAGCUCACACCAUGCACCCUGUGGUGGUCGCCUGCUUGAAGGAGCCUUCUCCACUGCUGGUGUAGACGGAGAUGCCUUAGGAGGCACUGCAGUUUGAGCUGUUUCUUUAGGUAAAACAGCCAAGGGUUCCACUUCAACUGUAGAUUUUAUAUUCUCAGUGGAAGGCUCUUGCUGUGAGGCUGAUGAUGCUCCUUGUUGUUGAAAGCAUUGAGGACCACCUCUGCCUCCAUCACGUCCUGUUCCACGGUCACCAGUAUUGGGAAGGCGGUGGCCGUUAUAUCCCCUGCCAUGACCUCUGAAGGAUCUACUGCCUUUUCUACCACCACUAUUAUAUGGAGACCCACCAGGCUGCAAAACAGGCUCUAAAAGUUUUCAAGAAAGAAGGAUAAAUAGUGGUGAAAAUCAGGGAAAAAGCAACCCAUGCAAACCAAGAUUAACUACCGAUGUGAUCAGCAUAAAUGCUAUUGGAUAUGAUUAAGUAAGAAAGCAUAAAUUUCUUCAUGUCUUAACUAGUCGCUUGAUCGAACAUGAAUAAAAAGGGGGCAAGAGUCCUAGAGCUUUAGGAGCACCUUCUGAUGGAAUUCCAAAAUAAAUGGUUCUCAGAAAGUAAAGUAGCGGAUGAAUGACAGUGGUGAUUUAACUUCUGUGAAUUCAUAAAAAAAAUAUCUGUCAAAGAAAGGUCCUCAUGGUCUAUCCCUCACAACAAUUCAACCUCCCUAAGCUCUACCACGAUAUUUGUAUAAAUGACUUCCUAACCUGCUGAAUGCUGAUAUUCACCAGUACUGAACUUUUUUGACCUUCAUGAGAGAAAAUUCUGCAAUAAGAAUUUUUCUUCCAAUAGUGCAUUUGAAAUUCACUGAUUUUAGUUUACUAAGAGAGAAAAGGCUAGAAUUGAAAUUCACUGACAUUUGACAUAACUAUAAGAACACAAAUUUAUAUAUUUCCAGUGGCAAACUGUGAAGCUCAAACUCAAACUUUGCCCCAGAAUUCAAAGUUGACUUCUAACUUGAAAAGUAACAAGACAAAUGUUGAAUCCACAAUUUCAUAAUCAGGUUGAAAAACAUCCUGAAUUAUCAACCCCACCCAGUAUGAUACCAGCAAUCAUGCAACUUUGCUAGAAUAGCAUACCCCUGACGGGAUCCACAAAGUUUCAGACCAUUUUUAAUCACCAUUGCAGUUGCUAGAUACAAAACAAGGAAACCAAAUAGUACAUACCAGUUCAUUCCAAAGCCAAAGAGAACUCAAGAGAUAAAUAGCCUUCAUCGACUGACAGCACAGUGGCUUCAAAUUCUCCUAUUUGGCAAAUGACAUGACUAAGCCACUACAUUCUCCUACUGUUUGACAUUCUCCCCAAAUUCAAAAGAAUUGAAGGCAACUAUGUGACGGAUUAAAAGAAAAGGUCACAAGUAGGUUAUCAGACAAGCAAGCCUUACGUUAAAGGGGCUCAAGCUCAUAAUUGGCUUGUUAGACUUGGCAAAAACCAAAGCACACCCUACAUUAUUGAGUACGAAGUAAAUGGUUGCAAGAUAGUUUAGUUCUGUCCAUUAGUUAGUCUCUCAUAUAUCAAAAGCAGAACCCCGAGCUUAUCGAUCUAAGGAAUGCAAAAACAUAAAAGCUUUUAGCCAAACUAAGUGUAAACCAACACUUUUACACCCUAAGUAUGCUCACCAUAAAUUAACACCUACAAUUGAGCAUGUCCUCCAGAGCAAUUCAACUCCACACUAUGAGCAGUUAAGUUUAAAAAAGAAAUUGGGGUAUAGGAAGAUUUCAACUAACUAAAGGUGCAGCCGUACUUAGCAAGGCCAAACGUUGAUCAAGGUUGAUGAAGUUAAGAACUUUAUGCUAGCAUUCAAAACUGAAAACAGAACUGCCAUGGCUUGUAAACUUGAUUGCUUACUUUACAGUUUGCAAUUGAAUACUUCUCUUUUUUACUUACGACUCUAAUACAACACCCGAUACAGUGUAAAGUUAGAAGCGAAGACGAAAUUACCAAGGAAGCUGCCACAAUAAAUUUUACGGCAGAUGAAAAAUUAUUAAGGAAAUCAAGUUCAUGAAAUUAAAAAAA